rnacentral:rRNA from 1 species
UACGUAGGGUGCGAGCGUUAAUCGGAAUUAUUGGGCGUAAAGCGCACGUAGGCGGCUUUGCAAGUCCGAUGUGAAAUCUUAUGGCUUAACCAUAAAAGUGCAUCGGAAACUGCAGAGCUUGAGUACUUAAGAGGAUCGCGGAAUUCCCGGUGUAGAGGUGAAAUUCGUAGAUAUCGGGAGGAACACCAGUGGCGAAGGCGGCGAUCUGGGAAGAUACUGACGCUGAGGUGCGAAAGCGUGGGGAGCAAACAGG